rnacentral:rRNA from 1 species
CCAACAGGGAUUGCCCUAGUAACGGCGAGUGAAGCGGCAACAGCUCAAAUUUGAAAUCUGGCGCAAGCCCGAGUUGUAAUUUGUAGAGGAUGCUUCUGGGUAGCGGCCGGUCUAAGUUCCUUGGAACAGGACGUCAUAGAGGGUGAGAAUCCCGUAUGUGACUGGUUGGCGCCCUCCACGUAGCUCCUUCGACGAGUCGAGUUGUUUGGGAAUGCAGCUCUAAAUGGGUGGUAAAUUUCAUCUAAAGCUAAAUACCGGCCAGAGACCGAUAGCGCACAAGUAGAGUGAUCGAAAGAUGAAAAGCACUUUGGAAAGAGAGUUAAAAAGCACGUGAAAUUGUUGAAAGGGAGGCGCUU